CUAGUCACUUCCCCUAGCCCCUGAAGGACCUGCAUAGGAGGGAGCAGUACUCUGCUGACUGUAAAAAUAAUCCACGUUUGAUUUGAUCAUGACUUGUGCACUGAUUUUUUUUUGCCAAAUUCCUUAAACCUCAACUACCACUUUAAUAUAAGUAAUCAUAUAGAAACCAUAUGAGGAGAGAUCUAUAUUUAACUUUGAAUGACUCCUAGUGAGGUGAUAUUUUUAAUGCAGAGCCAUCAGAUUUAUUAACAGUUUUAACUUGUAUCAUAGCAACUGUAUAUUUUUGUAAAAGAUCACCUCAAACAUUACUGUAUUAAGCAAUCUUUUUUUCACUGAACAAAAGAGGUCGGGUAUUUUUGGAUGGUUCUCUGUGGUUCCAUUGCGUUAGACAGUUUUUGUUGCAGGGCCUGUUCUGUGUGUGUGUGUGUGUGUGUGUGUGUGUGUGUGUAAAUGAGAUUCUGUAUUUGACUAUUGGGGUUGGUACAGUUGUAUCGUGAUGUACUGUAGAGAUGAUUUCUGUCACGUAACACAACUUCAUGUCAGUCAAAGAAUGAACAACACUGCUGCUGCAUAGAAGCAACAUUAACACUAAUCUGUCAUUGUUUCAGUGGACAUUUACAGAUGUGUGUCAAUCUAAACAAUGAAACUAUAUCUGAUUAUGUGUAAUACCUCUGGUUUGUGUCUCCGGCCUACAGUAGUGGUUAGUGUUGUCUGUUGUAAAGUGUUGCAACUUUCAUCUGCAAUUCAGGAUGCUAAACUACACUGAAGUGCUGUAUCUGUUUUGGUUUGGAAAGAGUGAUUCAUUUUGAGUUAACUUUUUGAAGGAGAUGGAAAGUGAGUAAAUGAAAUAGCAUAAUGAAGAAUUCCCUGUUUAGCUGCUAUGCACUUCUAAACUCUUCAUGAAGGCUUUACGAAUGAAAAAUGCACUUAAAUGCUUUUGGAGAUCUCAGUGAUUUCAGCCUUUUAACUUAAAAGAUUCAGCUGAGAAAACGCACUCUGCUUUAAUUUCUAUGCUAUUUGCUGUGUGGGGUAAUCGGCUCAAUGGCUCUAUGGUUUCUACAAAUGCAGCUUUAUUUCUCUAAAUGAUGUUCUGAAUAAAAUGUCCUGUGAAAUUAUAUUUCUCCCACUGUGUGGAUUUGACUUACAUGGCAUGUGAGUACAUGGCUGUCUGAGGAAUGACUGGCCUUUGUUCAUAUAACCAGGCUUUUCCUGUUUUAUAUUUGUGAGCAUCUGGACGGGACACAACGAUUCCACAACAACCAAAAGACAGUAUGGUGGAUUGUACUUGCAGUACAUAACAACCCUUUACCGGCAGAUAACAAUAUGGUUUACAUUGACAAUACUUAUGUCUAGAUAACAUGGCUCAAAUCAUAUAUUCAUAAAAAUGUCAUCUAAAUUGUGAUUUGAAUUGGUAUGUUGGUGGCAUCGAGCGGUGGGUUAUUGACUGAUUGGGUCUACAGGGGUGCAUCCUCACCCCUUUUUACGUUGACAGUAUUUCCCAUCCCCCAGUAGGUCAGUGACGUGAGCACUAGCAUUUUGUUAAUGGUGUCAUACAGCCCAGUAAUGUCAUUGGGGUAACAACUGCCAGAUGCCUCGUACAACAGGGGCCUGUUCAACGAAACAGAAUGUUCUGAUAAAAAUGUGUUGUCUCAUGUACCAUUGUCAUUUAUACAAAACAAAAAUAUAAACGCAACAUGUAAAGUGUUGGUCCCAUUUUCAUGAGCUGAAAUGAAACAACUAAAACCAGAUAAAAAGUAAUGGAUCAAUUAUGUUUUUAAAAUACGAUAGUCUUAGAGAACAAACAAUCAGGGUUCAUCUAAAAUGUAAAAAAUGUCAUGGCAUUGAAUUUGUUCCAAUAUUUGAGUCACUCAGAUACUCUAAGAACAAGGCAAAGCCAUGAGAAAAUGUGUAUUAUUGAAGAAAAUUGGCUUUAAAACUGAACGUGUUCUCAGCCGCAUGGUGCGGCACGUAGCCUAGUGGUUAGAGCGUGGGGACAGUAACCAGCAGGUAGCCUAGUGGUUAGAGCGUGGGGACAGUAACCAGCAGGUAGCCUAGUGGUUAGAGCGUGGGGACAGUAACCAGCAGGUAGCCUAGUGGUUAGAGCGUGGGGACAGUAACCAGCAGGUAGCCUAGUGGUUAGAGCGUGGGGACAGUAACCAGCAGGUAGCCUAGUGGUUAGAGCGUGGGGACAGUAACCGGCAGGUAGCCUAGUGGUUAGAGCGUGGGGCCAGUAACCAGCAGGUAGCCUAGUGGU